UUGCCCGAUGAUCUAAAGAAAAUGAAAAUUCUAGGCUUGGUCUUCUUCUUCUUCUUCUUUUAUUUGUUUUAUCAUUAGCCAGUUAUAUAUGUGCUACUAAUAGCCUAAUGCAAAAAAACUUGCUCUAAGUACAGUUAUGUGCCAAUUUUUUAAUCUACCAAAGCAUUUCUGUAUCUGUCUUGAGUGUUUGCAUUAUGUAUAAA
rnacentral:misc_RNA from 1 species